AGUCUGACGGAGCACGCCGCGUGAGUGAUGAAGGUUUUCGGAUCGUAAAGCUCUGUUGUUAGGGAAGAACAAGUGCGAGAGUAACUGCUCGCACCUUGACGGUACCUAACCAGAAAGCCACGGCUAACUACGUGCCAGCAGCCGCGGUAAUACGUAGGUGGCAAGCGUUGUCCGGAAUUAUUGGGCGUAAAGGGCUCGCAGGCGGUUUCUUAAGUCUGAUGUGAAAGCCCCCGGCUCAACCGGGGAGGGUCAUUGGAAACUGGGAAACUUGAGUGCAGAAGAGGAGAGUGGAAUUCCACGUGUAGCGGUGAAAUGCGUAGAGAUGUGGAGGAACACCAGUGGCGAAGGCGACUCUCUGGUCUGUAACUGACGCUGAGGAGCGAAAGCGUGGGGAGCGAACAGGAUUAGAUACCCUGGUAGUCCACGCCGUAAACGAUGAGUGCUAAGUGUUAGGGGGUUUCCGCCCCUUAGUGCUGCAGCUAACGCAUUAAGCACUCCGCCUGGGGAGUACGGUCGCAAGACUGAAACUCAAAGGAAUUGACGG
rnacentral:rRNA from 2 species